UACGGAGGGGGCUAGCGUUGUUCGGAAUUACUGGGCGUAAAGCGCACGUAGGCGGUUGCGCAUGUCAGAUGUGAAAGCCCCGGGCUUAACCUGGGAAUUGCAUUUGAAACUGCGCGGCUAGAGGCCGGAAGAGGGUAGUGGAAUUCCCAGUGUAGAGGUGAAAUUCGUAGAUAUUGGGAAGAACACCAGUGGCGAAGGCGGCUACCUGGUCCGGUUCUGACGCUGAGGUGCGAAAGCGUGGGGAGCAAACAGG
rnacentral:rRNA from 1 species